rnacentral:rRNA from 1 species
AUUGAACGCUGGCGGCAGGCCUAACACAUGCAAGUCGAACGAGUGGCGGACGGGUGAGUAAUGUCUGGGAAACUGCCUGACGGAGGGGGAUAACUACUGGAAACGGUAGCUAAUACCGCAUACCAUCAGAUGUGCCCAGAUGGGAUUAGCUUGUUGGUGGGGUAACGGCUCACCAAGGCGACGAUCCCUAGCUGGUCUGAGAGGAUGACGAGCCACACUGGAACUGAGGCACGGGCCAGACUCCUACGAGAGGCAGCAGUGGGGAAUAUGGGACAAUGGGCGCAAGCCUGAUGAGGCCGUGCCGCGUGUGUGAAGAAGGCCUUCGAGUUGUAAAGUACGUUCAGCGGGGAGGCGUUACCCGCAGAAGAAGCGCCGGCUAACUCCGUGCCAGCAGCCGCGGUAAUAC